CGCCUGCCACCGCACCCGGCUAAUUUUUUGUAUUUUUAGUAGAGACGGGGUUUCACCGUGUUAGCCAGGAUGGUCUUGAUCUGCUGACCUCGUGAUCCGCCCGCCUUGGCCUCCCAAAGUGCUGGGAUUACAGGCGUGAGCCACCGCGCCCGACUAGUAAUUCUAUUUUUAAUAUUUUGAGGAACUGCCAUAGUGUUUCCCACAGCAGCUGUGCCAUUUUGCAUUUCCACCAAUAGUGCACAAGAGUUCCAGUUUCUUUACAUCCUUACCAACACUUGCUAUUUUCUGUUUUUUUUUUUUUCUUUUUUUUUUUUAAUAGUAGCCAUCCUGUUGGGUGAGACGUGGUAUCUCGUUGUGGCUUUGAUUUGCAUUUCCCUAAUGGUCUGUCUCUACAGUUUUGCCUGUUCCAGAAUAUCAUUCCUUUGCAAUUUAAAUGUGAGGAUAAAUGUAUGCUAUUGUUUCUCAAACGUUUUUGUGUUACAAUACCUCCUUUUGAGUGAGAAAUGUCAACUCAAACUUACACUUUUUCACUUAGGAAGAUGAUUUAGGAAAGCCACUUAGAGUAAAAGUUUUUAAACAACUGUAAAAACUAAUUUGCUUCAUUGCAACAUUUGAGUUCUGUCGAAUAAAUAUUUGGCCAGAUUUCCUGCCUGCUAUAAAAUUUUUUAUAACUAGUAACCAAUUACCUAAGGGCCUCCAGUGCAGCUACUAAAACGUCUCUAUUUUAUUUGGCGGGGGGGGGGGGAAACACCUCAAUCCAAGCACAAAAAAAACAAGUACUGCUGAAUACCUACAGUUUGCCCUAUCUUUAUCUCAAAUUAACCAGUUAGUUCCUGAGCUGUAGAAAGGAAACCAUUUGAGCUUAUAAAACUAUUUUAAAGUGAUUAUGGGGAUUUUUAAAAAUCUCAUAGCUUUUAAUCAUGAUUUUUCAUACCUUAAAGAAAAAAACCCUACUUUUGCUUUCUGUUCCACAGAGAUAUUUUUCUUCUGAGACCAGGUUCCAAUGAACAGAGGGCAUCAACAUUUUGCUCAGUUAUUGUACCAUUAGCAGUGAUUGGUAACCUAAGUAGAGAGACUGUUCCAUUACAAUGACACACUAAAAGCAUAAACUAAGGUCUUUUUGUGCCAGCUGCUGGCCUGUCUGAAUUAAUGCUUUGUUGUUCCGUCUACAACAAAUGAUGUCAUGCAAGUGAUUUAUUUUGUAAGAGUACUCUGUAAUGAAAAACUUGAUUGAAGUUAAUUGUGGACUCCCUUCAUGGUGGUAAGGAGGCUAGGCUGAGGCUGAGCUAUGACUAAGCUACAGUUAUUUUACCUCGCUGUCAUAUAGCAAUUAGUCUUUAGCCCUUCCACUUUACAAUCCCAAAUGACUAGGCAAAACUCUCCUAAACUUCCAAAUAACCCACCAAAGCAAAACAACUAUUACUAGGAGCUUAGAGAAGGAAAGAGGCAAGAAUGAUUUACCUUGAUGCCACCUUCCUUCUGCUAAAUUUAAAGAUGUAAGAAAAUCUAAUUUAUAAAAUUUCAUUUGGCAAAAAGAAAAGGUAAAAAGUUUACCUGGAAAUCAAUUGUCCUACAUUAAAGUGAAAAAGGCCAGGCACAGUGGCUCAUGCCUGCAAUCCUAGCACUUUGGGAGGCUGAGGCGGGAGAUUUGCUUGAGGAUAGGAGUUCAAGACCAGCCUGGGUAACACAGGGAGACCUCAUCUCUACAAAA
rnacentral:lncRNA from 10 species